CGCGUCGCCCCCGACCACGCCUCCCUUAUGGGGAUGGGGUUGUGUCGGGGGCGRAGACUGGUCUCCCGUGCCCAUGGUGYGGUUGGCCUAAAAAGGAGUCCCCUUUGACGGACGCACGGCUAGUGGUGGUUGUCAAGGCCUUCGUAACGAGCCGUGCGGAUGCAAGGAGAUCACUCUAAAAAGACCCCAACGUGCUGUC
rnacentral:misc_RNA from 1 species